rnacentral:rRNA from 1 species
AUUGAACGCUGGCGGCAUGCCUUACACAUGCAAGUCGAACGGUAACGCGGGGCAACCUGGCGACGAGUGGCGAACGGGUGAGUAAUAUAUCGGAACGUGCCCAGUAGUGGGGGAUAGCCCGGCGAAAGCCGGAUUAAUACCGCAUACGACCUACGGGUGAAAGCGGGGGAUCGCAAGACCUCGCGCUAUUGGAGCGGCCGAUAUCAGAUUAGCUAGUUGGUGGGGUAAAAGCCUACCAAGGCGACGAUCUGUAGCUGGUCUGAGAGGACGACCAGCCACACUGGGACUGAGACACGGCCCAGACUCCUACGGGAGGCAGCAGUGGGGAAUUUUGGACAAUGGGCGCAAGCCUGAUCCAGCCAUGCCGCGUGCGGGAAGAAGGCCUUCGGGUUGUAAACCGCUUUUGUCAGGGAAGAAACGGUCUGAUCUAAUACAUUGGACUAAUGACGGUACCUGAAGAAUAAGCACCGGCUAACUACGUGC